ensembl:lncRNA
UUGUUUUUAUUAUUAUUAUUGUUUUGUUUAUUUGAAAAUGCAUGCAUUAUAUGAUUGUUUGAAAGUUUAUACUUUAGCCUAAGUGAAGUAAGAAGUCCAUUAAGCCUUCUGGGCUCUGAAAAGAGCAAUCACUGUGCAAUAACCUCUUCCUCUGGGAGAGACUGAGAGAGCAUCUGUGUAAAUGGAGGGAAACAAAGAGCCAUGCCGUCUUGGAUUCUUGAUUAGGUGCUUUAUGUGUGUGUGUUUGUCCAUUGGCAGAGCAUCUAAAUGGCCACAGAGCUGUUCUGCUCUCUGUAGCGUCUGUCGUGGCAAAGUGCCUUGUCUGGGUAUCACCAUUUCCUGCUCCAGAAAGGAAGUAACAGCAUACACCCACCAUCAUCAAACGUUUCGUCUGACUAACGCAAUGACUCAUCGACACAUCCAGCCUCAAGGCAUUCCAGCUCCGUAAGCAGCCAAUACUUGAAAUCAUCCAGUGGGAAUAGUUGGAAAACCGUCCAAGGGAAUAAUUGGCAAAACACUAUUGGGAAUAGCUGGAUAACUGCUUUUGGGGGAUCUGGCAGAAGGGAGGGCUCUCAUCGUGAGAAUGUAUGUGUCAAAGCUUUCACCUUCGGCUGUUGCGCUUGUUAUCCAACACUGUUGUCUGCCAGCGCUAUGGAACAACCCCAGUAAGGGUUAUUUCCUGUGGCUUCUGAAUAGCGAGAGUCAGAAUGCUAACUGUGCAUGCUGUUUGGGUAAUAUUACCCACAAGCCCUUUGAUUGUGACUGGUAUCUUUUGACUUUAGAGAAAUUAGAAAUGCAUCGCUAUGGCAGGUUUUAAAUAUAUGCAUUGCAAAGGAAUAAUGAAUUCUAAUUCUAAUUUAGUUAAAUUUUAUUGGCAUUGCUGUGGUUCUGAUUAACCCCACUCUACCAGUUGGUGGUGUCAAAAAUGGGGUUAAAGAAUCAUGAUUGGGCAAAAAAAUGGUUAAAGAACCAGACAUAAGAAAAAAAAACAGGGUAAAAGAAUCAAAACGCUUAAAGAAUUAUGAUCAAAGCAAAAAAGGGGGUUAAAGAACCAGAUGUAAAGAAAAAUGGGAUUAAAGGAACAUGACAGAAGCAAAAAUGAGGUUAAAAGAAUCAAAACGGUUAAAGAAUUAUGACAAGCAAAAAAUCCCAAUAGAAGCAAAAAAUAGGUUUUAGAAUCACAACUGAAGCCAAAAAGGCUUUAGAAAUUAUGGCGGAGGAAAAAUGGGAUUUAAGAAUCAAAGGGGUUGAAAAAUAAGGGGUUAAAGAACAUUAUGGAAGCAAAGAAGGGGUUAAAAAAUCAUGACGCAUGCAAAAACAGGCAUUACAGAAUCAGGACAGAAGCAAAAAUGAAUGGGGCUUAAAGAAUUCUGACAGCAAAAAAAAACAAAAGAUUAAAGAACGAAAGGGGUUAAAGAAUCAUAAUGGAAUCAAAAAGCGGGUUAAAAAUCAUGACAGAAGCAGAUUAGCAUAGGCCAAUUAAGUUUGAUGCAGCAAAACAAUAUUUCCCAUCAUUCUCUGUGGCAGUACAAGAAAGAUAAAAUACACAGAUAAAGCAUCAUUGACUCAUCUAAUGCCCGUCGCAUGCUCUUCAUUUUGUCAUACUAUAAUACAACCUUCCUGUCGGGAACUGAAAAUGAUCAAAUGAAAAAUGAAAUUGCCCAAUGUCUCAGUUUUUUUCAGGCUAAAAUGACUUCAGCCCUAAUAGCGCCUCAUGAAUUUGUACAUCAGAACGUCCCGGGAGGACUUGAAUGAGUUCUUAUUAUCGGCCCCCUGUGCUAACACCCGCAUCUUGAGUCUGACAUCAUCAGUGCUCUGCUAACAUCGUGCGCACUUUGAAUGGUUUAUAACAGAUUGUUUUGUCUUACUGAAUAUUUGAUUGUUUGCAGACUCAGUUGCAUGGUCAUAAUUCAAAGUAAAUUGUCACUUGCACAGAAUUCUGGGUGAUGUGUAAGUAUUUUCACACUCUGUGCUGUAGAGAUGAGCUGUUUUCCACUGGCGUAAACAGUAUUGAUCGUCUCCAAACUCUCUCAGAAACAUCAAGAAC